ensembl:lncRNA
CCGAUGCAUUGAAUUCAUUUUUUCAUCUGAAAUCUUAUUAUUUAAAUAAUAAUAAUAAUAAUAACAGUUCUGUCGUCGUUUGGUUGUGGGGGUGGGGUGGUUGUUUGUUUUUUUUUUGGUGGGUUUUUCUUUUUAAAAGUGAUAUUCACAAGCAAGGUUUACCACACUGAGAGAAACCAAAAAACAAAAAAAAACCAAAAAAAAAAAUCAGAAUAUAUAUAUAUAUAAUAUAUAUAAAUGCACCACCACGGCCACAGCACAGCAGGUCACGCGCACAGCGUCACUUCCUACGCCUAUUUACAAGGAAUUUCUGUAUGUACAAGGAGGAAGACGGCGGGAGCAUAAAUUAGCAUCUAUUUAUACAAAUAAACAAGAGUCAGGAAAAUAUCCAUCCAGCUGCAGGGGCAGGGGAGCGGCCACAAAGAGCCCCCUGCACCAGGAGCUCUGGGGGGGGUAAAAGGGGUGGGAUGGAUUUGGGGAGGGGGAUUUGGGGGUCCUGUCACAGCACCCACACGCUGGGAAGGGGGUCCCAGGACAGGGGGGUCUCCAGGGCAAUUGGGGUCUCCAGGAAAGAGGGUCCCAGAGCAGGAAAAAGGGCAGGGGGUCCCAGGACAGGGGCAUCUCCAGGGGAGGGGUCUCCAGGCCACAGGGUCCCAGGAAAGGGGGUCCCAGAGCAGGGAAAAGGGCAGAGGGUACCAGGACAGGGUCCCAGGACAGNAGGCCAGGAAUGGGCACUGGUGGGCAUUGGGAAGGACUGGCCAAGUCCCACUGCCAGGGCAGGGACACCUUUCACCCUCCUGCUGCUCCAAACCCCAGCCUGGGGCACUGCCAGGGAUCUACGGCUGGGUGAAAUCCAUCCCUGCCCUCACAGCAAGGAAUUCCUUCCCAAAAUGCCCUCAUGGACACUUCCAGGGCUGGGGGAAAUCCAUCCCCACCCUCACAGGGAGGAAUUCCUACCCCAAAUACUUUCAUGGACAUUUCCCUGAUCUCCAUCCCAAACCCAGAACCUUUCCCUGAUCCCCAUCCCAAACCCCUGAACCUUUCCCUGAACCCCAUCCCAAAUCCCUGAACCUUUCCCUGAUCCCCAUCGCAAAUCCCUGAACCUUUCCCUGAUCCCCAUCCCAAAUCCCUGAACCUUUUCCUGAUCUGCAUCCCAAACCCCUGAACCUUUCCUUGAUCUCCAUCCCAAAUCCCUGAACCUUUCCCUGAUCCCCAUCCCAAAUCUCUGAACCUUUCCCUGAUCUCCAUCCCAAACCCCUGAACCUUUCCUUGAUCCCCAUCCCAAAGCCCUGAACCUUUCCCUGAUCCCCAUCCCAAAUCCCUGAACCUUUCCCUGAUCUCCAUCCCAACCCCAGAACCUUUCCCUGAUCCCCAUCCCAAACCCCUGAACCUUUCCCUGAUCUCCAUCCCAAAUCUCUGAACCUUUCCCUGAUCUCCAUCCCAAAUCUCUGAACCUUUCCUGAUCUCCAUCCCAAACUCCAGAACCUUUCCCUGAUCUCCAUCCCAAACCCCUGAACCUGUCCCUGACCCCCAUCCCAAAUCCCUGAACCUUUCCCUGAUCUCCAUCCCAAAUCUCUGAACCUUUCCUGAUCUCCAUCCCAAAUCUCUGAACCUUUCCCUGAUCCCCAUCCCAAACCCCUGAACCUUUCCCUGAUCCCCAUCCCAAAUCCCUGAACCUUCCCCUGAUCCCCAUCCCAAACCCCAGAACCUUUCCUGGGAUCCAUCCAGGGCUCCAGGGACAGCCAUGAAACCCAUCCCCACCCUGCCAGUGCUGAAUUCCUCCCCCCGAGUGCCCUCCUUGCCCCCCAGCCGUGCUGUCCCUGUGGUUGCAGGCAGGAUGUUCGUGGUGGGCUGCAGCCUGGGCCCCCUGAUGCAUUACUGGUACCUGUGGCUGGACUGGGCGCUGCCGGCGCGGGGCGUGCGCUGCCUGCGCACCGGCAUCAAGAAGGUGCUCAUCGACCAGCUGGUGGCAUCGCCCACCAUGGG